rnacentral:rRNA from 1 species
GGAGGGGGCUAGCGUUGUUCGGAAUUACUGGGCGUAAAGAGUGCGUAGGCGGUUUAGUAAGUUGGAAGUGAAAGCCCGGGGCUUAACCUCGGAAUUGCUUUCAAAACUACUAAUCUAGAGUGUAGUAGGGGAUGAUGGAAUUCCUAGUGUAGAGGUGAAAUUCUUAGAUAUUAGGAGGAACACCGGUGGCGAAGGCGAUCAUCUGGGCUACAACUGACG